AAGGGAGACCUAAUUCCGGUAGGAGACGAAAAAAAAGUAGUCCCUACCAAGAAUCAAUCCCAAAAGGUCGAAGCGAGGCAAGAUUGGCUUUCAAACUAGGUUCUGGGUUCACACAAGACCUGAAUCAGGAACAAGGGCUAUUAGCUCAGGUGGUUAGAGCGCACCCCUGAUAAGGGUGAGGUCCCUGGUUCGAGUCCAGGAUGGCCCACCUGUACAGGUGGCAAAAAGAAAGAAAAGAAGCGAGGAAUCAGCACCUUAUCUUACUGACAUAGUAAGAGAGAAUGCUGGCUCUGAGUAAAGAGUCCAGAGGAACCUUGAAAACUGCAUAGAGCUAGGUGAAAAAGCCAAAAAAGAAGACCGCAA
rnacentral:tRNA from 1 species